rnacentral:rRNA from 1 species
GAGUUUGAUUAUGGCUCAGGACGAACGCUGGCGGCGUGCCUAAUACAUGCAAGUCGAGCGGAGUUGAAUAAGUGCUUGCACUAAUUCAACUUAGCGGCGAACGGGUGAGUAACACGUAAAGAACCUGCCUCAUAGACUGGGACAACUACUGGAAACGGUAGCUAAUACCGGAUAACAUAUUUUUCUGCAUGGAAGAAUAUUGAAAGUCGGUCAUGCUGACACUAUGAGAUGGCUUUGCGGUGCAUUAGCUAGUUGGUAGGGUAAAGGCCUACCAAGGCGACGAUGCAUAGCCGACCUGAGAGGGUGAUCGGCCACACUGGGACUGAGACACGGCCCAGACUCCUACGGGAGGCAGCAGUAGGGAAUCUUCCGCAAUGGACGAAAGUCUGACGGAGCAACGCCGCGUGAGUGAAGAAGGAUUUCGGUUCGUAAAACUCUGUUGUUAGGGAAGAAUGAUUGUAUAGUAACUAUAUACAGUAGAGACGG